AGAGCGAACGCUGGCGGCAGGCCUAACACAUGCAAGUCGAGCGCCCCGCAAGGGGAGCGGCAGACGGGAGAGUAACACGUGGGAACGUACCCUUCAGUUCGGAACAACCCAGGGAAACUUGGGCUAAUACCGGAUACGUCCGUAAGGAGAAAGAUUUAUCGCUGAAGGAUCGGCCCGCGUCUGAUUAGCUAGUUGGUGAGGUAACGGCUCACCAAGGCGACGAUCAGUAGCUGGUCUGAGAGGAUGAUCAGCCUCACUGGGACUGAGACACGGCCCAGACUCCUACGGGAGGCAGCAGUGGGGAAUAUUGGACAAUGGGCGCAAGCCUGAUCCAGCCAUGCCGCGUGGAUGAUGAAGGCCCUAGGGUUGUAAAGUCCGUUUCGGCGGGGAAGAUAAUGACGGUACCCGCAGAAGAAGCCCGGCUAACUUCGUGCCAGCAGCCGC
rnacentral:rRNA from 1 species